GGAAAAGAAACCAACAGGGAUUGCCUCAGUAACGGCGAGUGAAGCGGCAUAAGCUCAAAUUUGAAAUCUGGCUCUUUCAGGGUCCGAGUUGUAAUUUGUAGAAGAUGUUUCGGGCGUGGUUCCGGUCUAAGUUCCUUGGAACAGGACGUCAUAGAGGGUGAGAAUCCCGUAUGUGACUGGAUACCUUCGCCCAUGUGAAACUCUUUCGACGAGUCGAGUUGUUUGGGAAUGCAGCUCAAAAUGGGUGGUAUAUUUCAUCUAAAGCUAAAUAUUGGCCAGAGACCGAUAGCGCACAAGUAGAGUGAUCGAAAGAUGAAAAGCACUUUGGAAAGAGAGUUAAACAGUACGUGAAAUUGUUGAAAGGGAAGCGCUUGCAAUCAGACUUGCGCCUAGUUGAUCAUCCGGGCUUCUGUCCGGUGCACUCGAUUAGGCUCAGGCCAGCAUCGGUUUAGGUGGUUGGAUAAAGGCCUAGGGAAUGUAGCCUCCUUCGGGUGGUGUUAUAGCCCUAGGUGCAAUGCAGCCUACCNGGACCGAGGACCGCGCUUCGGC
rnacentral:rRNA from 1 species